rnacentral:rRNA from 1 species
CCUACGGGAGGCAGCCGUGAGGAAUAUUGGUCAAUGGGCGUAAGCCUGAACCAGCCAAGUCGCGUGAGGGAUGAAGGUUCUAUGGAUCGUAAACCUCUUUUAUAAGGGACUAAAGUGCGGGACGUGUCCCGUUUUGUAUGUACCUUAUGAAUAAGGCUCGGCUCAAUCCGUGCCAGCAGCCGCGGUAAUACGGAGGAUCAGAGCGUUAUCCGGAUUUUUUUGGUUUAAAGGGUUCGUUGGCAGCCUUUUAAGUCAGCGGUGAAAGUUUGUGGCUCAACCAUAGUAUUGCCGUUGAUACUGGUAGGCUUGAGUAUGUGUGAGGCAGGCGGAAUGCGGGGUGUAGCGGUGAAAUGCUUAGAUAUCACGCAGAACCCCGAUUGCGAAGGCAGCCUGCCAAGCCAUGACUGACGCUGAUGCACGAAAGCGUGGGGAUCAAACAGGAUUAGAUACCCUAGUAGUC